UAUUGAGUUUGCAUGAAAUCAAUAUGAAAGCUCCGGCGAUGAGAGAUGGGGAUGCGUUUCAUUAGGUAGUAGGCGGGGUAACGGCCCACCUAGCCGACGAUGAAUAGGGGUUCUGAGAGGAAGGUCCCCCACACUGGAACUGAGACACGGUCCAGACUCCUACGGGAGGCAGCAGUGAGGAAUAUUGGUCAAUGGGCGCAAGCCUGAACCAGCCAAGUAGCGUGAAGGGAUGACUGCCCUAUGGGUUGUAAACUUCUUUUAUAUGAGAACAAAUGUAUUUACGUGUAAAUAUUUGCGUGUACCAUAUGAAUAAGCAUCGGCUAACUCCGUG
rnacentral:rRNA from 1 species